rnacentral:rRNA from 1 species
GAUGAACGCUGGCGGCGUGCCUAAUACAUGCAAGUCGAGCGAACAGACGAGGAGCUUGCUCCUCUGACGUUAGCGGCGGACGGGUGAGUAACACGUGGAUAACCUACCUAUAAGACUGGGAUAACUUCGGGAAACCGGAGCUAAUACCGGAUAAUAUAUUGAACCGCAUGAUUCAAUAGUGAAAGACGGUUUUGCUGUCACUUAUAGAUGGAUCCGCGCCGCAUUAGCUAGUUGGUAAGGUAACGGCUUACCAAGGCAACGAUGCGUAGCCGACCUGAGAGGGUGAUCGGCCACACUGGAACUGAGACACGGUCCAGACUCCUACGGGAGGCGGCAGUAGGGAAUCUUCCGCAAUGGGCGAAAGCCUGACGGAGCAACGCCGCGUGAGUGAUGAAGGUCUUCGGAUCGUAAAACUCUGUUAUUAGGGAAGAACAAAUGUGUAAGUAACUAUGCACGUCUUGACGGUACCUAAUCAGAAAGCCACGGCUAACUACGUG